rnacentral:rRNA from 1 species
CGGGACGGGUGAGUAAUGUCUGGGAAACUGCCUGGUGGAGGGGGAUAACUACUGGAAACGGUAGCUAAUACCGCAUAACGUCGCAAGACCAAAGAGGGGGACCUUCGGGCCUCUUGCCAUCGGAUGUGCCCAGAUGGGAUUAGCUAGUAGGUGGGGUAAUGGCUCACCUAGGCGACGAUCCCUAGCUGGUCUGAGAGGAUGACCAGCCACACUGGAACUGAGACACGGUCCAG